rnacentral:rRNA from 2 species
UUGGUGUGAAUUGCAGAAUUCAGUGAAUCAUCGAAUCUUUGAACGCACCUUGCGCCCUUUGGUAUUCCGAGGGGCAUGCCUGUUUGAGUGUCAUUAAAUACCAUCAACCCUCUUUUGACUUCGGUCUCGAGAGUGGCUUGGAAGUGGAGGUCUGCUGGAGCCUAACGGAGCCAGCUCCUCUUAAAUGUAUUAGCGGAUUUCCCUUGCGGGAUCGCGUCUCCGAUGUGAUAAUUUCUACGUCGUUGACCAUCUCGGGGCUGACCUAGUCAGUUUCAAUAGGAGUCUGCUUCUAACCGUCUCUUGACUGAGACUAGCGACUUGUGCGCUAACUUUUGACUUGACCUCAAAUCAGGUAGGACUACCCGCUGAACUUAAGCAUAUCAAUAAGCGGAGGA